UGGACUCAAACGUCUGACAGCUCGAACACUUUCUCAUCACCCGUCUGGUCCUAUUCCGCUCUGCAACCGAGAAAGGACACCAUCGUCACAAUAAUGGACUGAAGGUAACCAAGAACAGUGAGUGAGACUACACUGAGAGUUGGGCUGAUG